AGACAAUGUAAAUUGUUAAGAAAAUUGUUUUCUUUUAGUGCCUUCUGUAAUGUUACAUAAUUUUUUCUUUAGCCAUUAUUGCCAGAAUCCCUAUCUUCAUCCCAGUGCCGGUGAAGACAAUGUAAAUUGUUAAGAAAAUUGUUUUCUUUUAGUGCCUUCUAUAAUGUUACAUAAUUUUUUCUUUAGCCAUUAUUGCCAGAA
rnacentral:lncRNA from 1 species